UCCAAAAGGGACGAAGGAGUAUUGCUCCUAAUUCCUGAUUGCUUCCUUGUCUUGUAACUAAACUUUGGGACAUUAAGACAAGGAACUGGGGAAAUUAUUGGUUAGAGGUAUUUCUCUAUUUGUGUCCCUUCUGAUCAAUAAAA
rnacentral:snoRNA from 1 species